rnacentral:rRNA from 1 species
UACGGGGGGGGCAAGCGUUGUUCGGAAUUACUGGGCGUAAAGGGCUCGUAGGCGGCCAACUAAGUCAUACGUGAAAUCCCUCGGCUUAACCGGGGAACUGCGUCUGAUACUGGAUGGCUUGAGUUCGGGAGAGGGAUGCGGAAUUCCAGGUGUAGCGGUGAAAUGCGCAGAUAUCGGGAAGAACACCCGUGGCGAAGGCGGUUCUCUGGGACGGUACUGACGCUGAGACGCGAAAGCGUGGGGAGCGAACAGG